CCCACCUGGGCCCAGGAGCCGUGCUGUGGGCAAUGCCACUGCUCUGUGCACCUGGAUGGGCAGGCAGCUCUGUCAGACCCAAGCCAGAAAGGGUCGGUCACUUCAGUGUCCCAGCCAUGAGAUCUGUCACAUUGAAAACAAGGUGACACGUGCAAGCUGCCUGUGGGGCUGGUUGCUUUCACAAGGAGACGCUUCUUGUCGGUGAGCUCCAGCUGGGUGUUACUGCUGAAGACUUCCUGAAAGGCUGCUAAUAGGAUCUGAGCUGGCUGCUGCUGAGGGACACGUGGCUGACCCUUCCUAAAGGCAAUAUGGGACCACAGUUAAGUUUCCUGGCUUCUGAGUUGGAUAGAUUUCAGGGGCCUCACAAAGAAAAGCAAGGAAAGCCAUAAGAGAGCUGAUGGUGUUCCUCACUCACAGCCACAGUGUUUCUCAGGGCUGACUAAUUUGAACACAACUUCACGCAGCAGAUAACGUCACUGGAACAAUUACAGACAGUCUGCCUUCAAUAUCAAGCAAAAUGACAGCCUUUUCCCCCUGGCCUUGAAACUCAUAAAGAUCACUCUGCUGCUGA